rfam:Triticum urartu cultivar G1812 contig19758, whole genome shotgun sequence.
CAAAUACUCCCUCCGUCCGGAAAUACUUGUCAUCAAAAUGGAUAAAAGGAAAUGUAUCUAGACGUAUUUUAGUUUUAGAUACAUCUCUUUUUAUCCAUUUUGAUGACAAGUAUUUUCAGACGGAGGGAGUAGAAA